rnacentral:rRNA from 1 species
UACGUAGGGACCAAGCGUUGUUCGGAUUUACUGGGCGUAAAGGGCGCGCAGGCGGCGUGUUAAGUCACUUGUGAAAUCUCUAAGCUUAACUUAGAACGGUCAAGUGAUACUGAUGUGCUAGAGUGCAGAAGGGGCAACCGGAAUUCUUGGUGUAGCGGUGAAAUGCGUAGAUAUCAAGAGGAACACCUGAGGUGAAGACGGGUUGCUGGGCUGACACUGACGCUGAGGCGCGAAAGCUAGGGUAGCAAACGGG